rnacentral:rRNA from 1 species
UGCGGGGGGGGCAAGCGUUGUUCGGAAUUACUGGGCGUAAAGGGCUCGUAGGCGGCCAACUAAGUCAGACGUGAAAUCCCUCGGCUUAACCGGGGAACUGCGUCUGAUACUGGAUGGCUAGAGGUUGGGAGAGGGAUGCGGAAUUCCAGGUGUAGCGGUGAAAUGCGUAGAUAUCUGGAGGAACACCGGUGGCGAAGGCGGCAUCCUGGACCAAUUCUGACGCUGAGGAGCGAAAGCCAGGGGAGCAAACGGG